UACGUAGGGGGCAAGCGUUGUCCGGAUUUAUUGGGCGUAAAGAGCGUGUAGGCGGCCAGGUAGGUCAGCUGUGAAAACUCGAGGCUCAACCUCGAGACGCCGGUUGAAACCAUCUGGCUAGAGUCCGGAAGAGGAGAGUGGAAUUCCUGGUGUAGCGGUGAAAUGCGCAGAUAUCAGGAAGAACACCCGUGGCGAAGGCGGCUCUCUGGAACGCAACUGACGCUGAGACGCGAAAGCGUGGGGAGCAAACAGG
rnacentral:rRNA from 1 species